rnacentral:rRNA from 1 species
CCUACGGGCGGCAGCAGUGAGGAAUAUUGGUCAAUGGCCGGAAGGCUGAACCAGCCAAGUCGCGUGAAGGAUGAAGGUGCCAAGCAUUGUAAACUUCUUUUGUCAAGGGACAAAAUCAUGCUCGAGAGCCUGUCCGUGGGUACUAGAAGAAAAAGCAUCGGCUAACUCCGUGCCAGCAGCCGCGGUAAUACGGAGGAUGCGAGCGUUAUCCGGAUUUAUUGGGUUUAAAGGGUGCGUAGGCGGACUGUUAAGUCAGCGGUAAAAGUUCGGGGCUCAACCCCGGCGUGCCGUUGAAACGGGCAGUCUUGAGAAGUCGAGAGGUAUGCGGAAUGCGCGGUGUAGCGGUGAAAUGCUUAGAUAUUACGAAGAACUCCGAUUGCGAAGGCAGCAUACCGGCGGCGAUCUGACGCUGAGGCACGAAAGCGUGGGUAUCGAACAGGAUUAGAUACCCGGGUAGUC